GGUUUUCGGAUCUAGAGACCGGCGCACGGGUGCGUAACGCGUAUGCAAUCUACCUUUUACAGAGGGAUAGCCCAGAGAAAUUUGGAUUAAUACCUCAUAGUAUUAUUGAAUGGCAUCAUUUAAUAAUUAAAGUCACAACGGUAAAAGAUGAGCAUGCGUCCCAUUAGCUAGUUGGUAAGGUAACGGCUUACCAAGGCAACGAUGGGUAGGGGUCCUGAGAGGGAGAUCCCCCACACUGGUACUGAGACACGGACCAGACUCCUACGGGAGGCAGCAGUGAGGAAUAUUGGUCAAUGGGCGCAAGCCUGAACCAGCCAUGCCGCGUGCAGGAUGAAGCAUCUAUGGUGUGUAAACUGCUUUUGUACGAGAAGAAACACUCCUUCGUGAAGGAGCUUGACGGUAUCGUAAGAAUAAGGACCGGCUAACUCCGUGCCAGCAGCCGCGGUAAUACGGAGGGUCCAAGCGUUAUCCGGAAUCAUUGGGUUUAAAGGGUCCGUAGGCGGUUUUGUAAGUCAGUGGUGAAAGCCCAUCGCUCAACGGUGGAACGGCCAUUGAUACUGCAAGACUUGAAUUAUUAGGAAGUAACUAGAAUAUGUAGUGUAGCGGUGAAAUGCUUAGAGAUUACAUGGAAUACCAAUUGCGAAGGCAGGUUACUACUAAUGGAUUGACGCUGAUGGACGAAAGCGUGGGUAGCGAACAGGAUUAGAUACCCUGGUAGUCCACGCCGUAAACGAUGGAUACUAGCUGUUCGGAGCAAUCUGAGUGGCUAAGCGAAAGUGAUAAGUAUCCCCCCUGGGGAGUACGUUCGCAAGAAUGAAAC
rnacentral:rRNA from 1 species